CUGUACUGAAACUUUAUCAUAACUUUUAAAAUCAGGUACCGUUGUGAAUUAUACCUGUAGUGAAACCAACGAUGGUGAAUAUGUCCUACUACUGUUUCCAGGCUUCAAUAUACUUUUAGGUUUGUUGAAUUUGUUUUAUUUCUCUAAUUGGAGAAUAAAGUAUUUAAAUACAAAGAGCACCGAAGGAUCUCUAGAAUUACAUUGAAACUGUGAAGAAAAACAACCUAGGUAUUAUAUAUUGAUUAAAUGGCUGCGGUAACACUGUAACAAAAUUUUAUCCAAAGUGUCUCAUUAAACUAUUUUUCUCACUUUUGCUGCUACACCAUUUUAACUUUGUUACACUUUAUCUUCCGUUAAUAAUAACAAUGUAUAGUGUUAAAUUUUUAUUCUGAAAGAGGGACAAU